rnacentral:rRNA from 1 species
AGUGAACGCUGGCGGUAGGCCUAACACAUGCAAGUCGAACGGCAGCACAGUAAGAGCUUGCUCUUACGGGUGGCGAGUGGCGGACGGGUGAGGAAUACAUCGGAAUCUACUUUUUCGUGGGGGAUAACGUAGGGAAACUUACGCUAAUACCGCAUACGACCUACGGGUGAAAGCAGGGGAUCUUCGGACCUUGCGCGAUUGAAUGAGCCGAUGUCGGAUUAGCUAGUUGGCGGGGUAAAGGCCCACCAAGGCGACGAUCCGUAGCUGGUCUGAGAGGAUGAUCAGCCACACUGGAACUGAGACACGGUCCAGACUCCUACGGGAGGCAGCAGUGGGGAAUAUUAGACAAUGGGCGCAAGCAUGAUCCAGCCAUACCGCGUGGGUGAAGAAGGCCUUCGGGUUGUAAAGCCCUUUUGUUGGGAAAGAAAAGCAGCAGGUUAAUACCCCGCUGUUCUGACGGUACCCAAAGAAUAAGCACCGGCUAACUUCGUG